rnacentral:rRNA from 1 species
UACGAAGGGGGCUAGCGUUGCUCGGAAUCACUGGGCGUAAAGGGUGCGUAAGCGGGUCUUUAAGUCAGGGGUGAAAUCCUGGAGCUCAACUCCAGAACUGCCUUUGAUACUGGAGAGCUUGAGUCCGGAAGAGGUGAGUGGAACUCCGAGUGUAGAGGUGAAAUUCGUAGAUAUUCGGAAGAACACCAGUGGCGAAGGCGGCUCACUGGUCCGGUACUGACGCUGAGGUGCGAAAGCGUGGGGAGCAAACAGG